UAACGCCACGUGGAUGAUGGUGUU
rnacentral:piRNA from 1 species